rnacentral:rRNA from 1 species
CUAACACAUGCAAGUCGAACGGUAACAGUCCUUCGGGAGCGGACGAGUGGGGCACGGGUGAGUAACGCGUGGAUAUCUGCCUAUGAGUGGGGGACAACUUUCGGAAACGGAAGCUAAUACCGCAUACACUUUACGGAGUAAAGCAGGGGACCUUCGGGCCUUGUGCUCAUAGAUGAGUCCGCGUCAGAUUAGCUAGUUGGUAGGGUAAGAGCCUACCAAGGCGAUGAUCUGUAACUGGUUUGAGAGGAUGAUCAGUCACACUGGAACUGAGACACGGUCCAGACUCCUACGGGAGGCAGCAGUGGGGAAUUUUGCACAAUGGGCGCAAGCCUGAUGCAGCGAUGCCGCGUGUGGGAAGAAGGCUUUAGGGUUGUAAACCACUUUCAAUUGGGAAGAAGAGAUGAGGCUUAAUACGCUUCUGAUUUGACGGUACCUUUAGAAGAAGCACCGGCUAAUUUCGUGCCAGCAGCCGCGGUAAUACGAAAGGUGCAAGCGUUGUUCGGAUUUACUGGGCGUAAAGAGAUCGUAGGUGGUUUGUUAAGUUGGAUGUGAAAUCCCGGGGCUCAACCUCGGAACUGCAUCCAAAACUGACGGACUUGAGUUUGGGAGGGGUAAGCGGAAUUCCGUGUGUAGCAGUGAAAUGCGUAGAUAUACGGAGGAACACCUGAGGCGAAGGCGGCUUACUGGACCAAUACUGACACUGAGGAUCGAAAGCGUGGGUAGCAAACAGGAUUAGAUACCCUGGUAGUCCACGCCCUAAACGAUGUCAACUAGCCGUUGCGGGUAUCGACCCCUGCAGUGGCGCAGCUAACGCGAUAAGUUGACCGCCUGGGGAGUACGGU